UAUGUGAUCGUCUCUCGCAUAUCAAUAAGCGGAGGAAAAGAAACUAACAAGGAUUCCCCUAGUAACGGCGAGUGAAGCGGGAAGAGCUCAAAUUUGAAAUCUUAAAGGGUUUCCCUUUACGAAUUGUAGUUUAAAGAAGUGUUUUCUGUUGAGGUUUUGGUAAAAGUUCUUUGGAAUAGGACAUCAUAGAGGGUGAGAAUCCCGUAUUUGACCUUUACUUUCAACUUUGUGAUACACUUUCAAAGAGUCGGAUUGUUUGGGAAUGCAGUCCAAAAUGGGUGGUAAAUUUCAUCUAAAGCUAAAUAUUGGCGAGAGACCGAUAGCGAACAAGUACCGUGAGGGAAAGAUGAAAAGAACUUUGAAAAGAGUGUUAAACAGUACGUGAAAUUGUCAAAAGGGAAGCGUUUGACACCAGUGUUGUUUUUCUGAAAAUCAAUUAAAGAACUGUUUAUGCUAAGCUGUUUAGACUUUAUCAGCUAUCUGUUUAGUUUUGAGCUUUUCUUUAAUGCACUUUUCAGUUAACAAGUCAACAUCAAUUUCUUUUGCUGUAAAAAAGCUUGAGGAAGGUGGCUUGAGAUUCGUCUUAAGUGUUUAUAGCCUCUUGCCUAUGCAGUCGGAGAGAUUGAGGUCUGCAGCGUAGAUCCUUCGGGGCUAAAUGCAUUUGUGCUAAGUUAUAGCAUUUCAUAGACAACUUGUUGACUAUGAUUUGUCUUGUAGCUUACUCGCUUAUGUUAUUUUACCUACGCUUAGGAUGUUGAUAUGCAUGACUGAUAU
rnacentral:rRNA from 1 species